UACGCAGACGCGGAGUCCUGACCGGGUCUGAUAAGAAGCAGCUGUCUUGUGAUAAGAACAACGACGAGGGGAAGAUAACGAGAGUUUCCUCAGCCACAACUUGAGAUUAGCGAAGGUACUAAGCUGAUAGCUGGAGCGGUGAACAUGGAUAGAAGAUUGAAAAAUGGAUCAGCUGUAGCCCAUCAGUGUCGAGCGAAGUUAGCAUCAGAUGAAACGACGAUAUUUUCGACCAGUAACGUCUAAAAAAUCAUUCACAGUUGACGAAAUUUUUCAGAGACCGGUAUGAUGUAUGACUACUUCGAAUCAAAUAGUGUCUGUAGUCUGUGCUUGGAGGAUAUCUAUCGCUUCAUCAACUGUAUUCGUAGAAAAUGGUCUCCACACUCCACUCAUUCAAUCUUCGAAGAACACAAACUGAAUUUGAAAGAACUGAGAUUUGUAUCUGUACUAUAUUCCCGAUUAACUUUUUCGAUUAUCGCCGUCUGUUCAUCAGUAAAACCGAACGUUUAUCUAGCCCACAUAUCUACCUGUUGAGCAAAGAUUAGAUGUUGGUUUAACAUCUUAAUGUGUUGAAGAAGGAUUCCGGUGAUUCGACUGUUGUAGGAUGAGUGUCAUAGAUCGAAUAAGACAAAAAAAAACAAAUGAAAGUUGGUUCUUUUGUUGCUGUCAUACACUAUUUCGAGGAAAGGCACCGGAAGACUUCCACAACAACCCGAACGAAAUCCAGUUCAGAAGAAAUUUGUUAUUGUGUGAUCUGAUUUUAUACAAUAUGUACAUUGGCGAAGACUGACAACUCAUUUAAACGAAUAACAAAAAAAUGCUAUAAGGUAAAAAGAAUCUACGAGUAUUUGAACGUCACUCGUCAGUGAAUAUUCGUUAGUCAAAGAGGAGUAAUCAACGUUUGGAAAAUGACUUCAAUAUCGAAAACUGUAAAGCCGAAAGUCGCUCUUUCGUUGACCAUCUCCGUCGAAAGGCUCAGCAACGUUGAAAUUGACUCCAAGAAUUGUAAAGAUGAGUUGUGUUAUGCUGGUUAUAUUCGAGUAGUAUCCGAAUCUAUAGUGAAUGUUUUUGGAGAUGCUCAACUGCAGCACAAAUGGUGGAAGCUGAUUCGCCGUCUCAUUCAAGUUCUUUAUAAUGGAGUCAAAGGAGUACUCGAUGAAAGUGUGUGAUUCGAACAAGAUUUUUUAGCGUUUAGAAUUUAUUAUUAAUUAUUAAAAUAAUUAGUACACGUGAA